CAGUUUUGGGAGGAAGAUCCAGAUGUAUGGACGGUGCGAUCAACGGAUGGGGAUACCGGUGAAUGCAAGCGACAACAACGUAUACGCAUGAAUACCACCGGAGUGCUGCUGAAUACAUAGCAAAUAGAUGUACUUACCAAAAAAUUCACAAGUGUUGACAUGUUUUGGACAUUUGAAGAUGACAAUUCAAUUUCUUUUAAGGAGAGUCCUU